ACCCUUAAAUUUCUUCUCUGAUUGCGUAAACACAAAUCCAUUUUAAUCACGAUUGUUCUCUCUCCCCCACAGACCCACACCCGACUUCCCGGCCAGAGUAAACCCUAGAGCACGAUCUGCACAAGCUCCGAGUGCCCUGACGGAGACUAGACCGAGGUUGGGAUCGUCGAUCUAGUCACACUGCCGGCUACUCGAGAUCCGCGGUGGCAUCGUCGACGACACACCUCCGACGAUUCGAGACCGACGUUGGCAUCGUCUGGUCAUCUUCUCUUCUCAUCGGUCGCUUCUUCUUCGAGCACCAUCGUUCUUCCUCCAGCUAUACAUCAUUUGCCACUCCUCCGAUCCUGUCUUGCUGCUGACCCGCCGCUGCUCCUCUUUCUCCCUUCUCCGCUCUGAUCUUUUCACUAACAGAUUGUACAGCUUAAUUAUAGGAAGAAACUGCCCUCUUUGCACAACUAUUCAGAUUUGUUAUGCUUGGCAAAGCAACUGUCCAUAUAGUUUCGUGGCCUUGCUCAUGUAUAUUCUUGCGGCCUCUUUGUUGAUACAUGCUAGCUCAAUAUUUGAUACCAUAUGGAGUAUUUGAAUCCUUUUUGCAGUCAUGGCUGGCUUGAAUUUGCAGAGUAAGAGCAAGAGGAGGAAAAUCGUUGUCCUGACUGCGUGGAUUCAAAUGUGUACUAUUUUAAGUAAUUUGAUGACCCUUCUAUUAGUAUUAGCUACUCUGUAUAGCCCCGAGUCAAGCACUAGGUCCUAUGAUAUUUCUCGUGCCCGUCUGCCACCUGGUGAGGAACCAGGAACUUCAGGAAGAAAGAGGAAAAGGAAUCAAACUGACUUGUCGACAAUUUUUGAGGCUGUGAACAGUAUGACAGCUGAUAUGAAGGAGGCCUGGGUGAUGCUUUCGAGGAGUGUUCACUGUGACAUUGUUCAAGAAAAGCUCCUUGAACUUCCGGGGGCACUUCGUAGUGUUGAUGGCCUUACUAAGGCAGAGGUGCGCAUGGCUAUUCAAAGAUUCGGAAAACAUCCGAAUGCAGUCCUAUUGUUUUUUGGUACAGAACCGGAGGACCGCUUGGAAAUGGUUAAGGAUUUCCUUGCAAAUGAUUGAAGGACUACAAGCUAGACUUCUUUGUGGAGCUUUUUGGGCUCUUACGGUUAAGUCAAGCUAUCUGGGUGGUGUGAUAAAUGGUGAAACGGAAGAAGCUUUGAAGUUUAUUUGGUGUCACUGCUCCUUUUUGUUGCUGGCGGAAUGAAGUAAAGUUUACAGGUGAUUUUUUUGUCAAAGCAUGGAGCGAAACGACGUACUUGCCGGUGUUGUUGCCCGAACUGAAAUUGGUAGAGGUCCUAGGCCUUUUGAAAUGUGUACGUAAGUGCAGAAGUGACGUUGUAACUGCUCAUAUACUCUGUAAACAUGUUCGUGGAUCGGCAUUUGUCGACUUUGUUGUUUUGGAAACUUGCCACACCGGUCAUUAGUUCUGAUUAAAUUAGGGGCAGCAGUAGCACCUUUCGUGCAGCUAUGGUGUAGAACAUGGUGACAGUUUGUAUAUAGCUUCUAUGGGUAAUGAAUUGUAUCGUUUCUAUGUCGAAAAAUAUGGUUUAUGUGGUCGUUUGCUUUCGA